GAUGAACGCUAGCGACAGGCUUAACACAUGAAAGUCGAGGGGCAGCAUAAAAGUAGCAAUACUUUGGUGGCGACUGGCGCACGGGUGAGUAACGAGUAUGCAACCUACCUAUCAGAGGGGAAUAACCCGGCGAAAGUCGGACUAAUGCCGCAUAAAACAGGGGCACCGCAUGGUGAUAUUUGUUAAAGAAAUUCGCUGAUAGAUGGGCAUGCGUUCCAUUAGAUAGUUGGUGAGGUAACGGCUCACCAAGCCGACGAUGGAUAGGGGAACGGAGAGGUUGAGCCCCCAAACUGGUACUGGGAAACGGGCCAGACUCCUACGAGAGGCAGCAGUGGGGAAUAUUGGACAAUGGGCGGGGGCCUGAACCAGCCAAGUCGCGUGAAGGAAGAAGGUUCUGUGUUUCGUAAACUUCUUAUGCAGGGGAAUAAAGUGCAGGACGUGUCCUGUUUUGUAUGUACCCUGGGAAUAAGGAUCGGCUAACUCCGUGCCAGCAGCCGCCGUAA
rnacentral:rRNA from 1 species